AACCUGAACCACUGGGAAACAUCAGGCCCUGUGACUGGACCGUAAAAGCCAAAUUUAUGCAGCAACUGAUGGCUUUGAGGCAGCAGACAGCCUGGAUCUCCUCUUUGCUAAGCUCUCACUGCGGCGUUCUCGCUGCUCCUUCAACCUGGUAGCAAGGAGCUUUUGGUACUCGGCUGCCUCUGACUUUGCCUUUGCAAUUCUCUUCUUCUUCUCUGCAAUCCUUGCACGCUUCCUCUGCAGAGUCAAUGGGGUCACCAGCCUCUGAAUCUUAGGGGCUUUACUGCAUUUCUUCCCUGAGGAUCACAGUGAUGAAACCAUAUCAAUCUUCUGUCUUUAGUCUUUUAAAAAGCAAAAUACUGAAAUAAUACUUUUAAGCAUCACAUGAAUUUCAGUCAUCUUAAACUAACUUGCAACUACUUAUUAUAUCAUCAUCCUUUACCCUAUUAUUCCCACACAUAAUAUCAAGUUCUGCAAAGGAUUAUGAUAAAAUUAAUUAUCUUCAGUCAUCUUUAAUUUAGACUUGUUAUUAAAUUAUCCUUAUAUGACUACAAAAAAAUGAAUAAAUAAAGAGUUGCCUUUUCUUUGUGUCGUCUGUGUGAUGUGGUAUAAGUUCAUGCAGUAAAAUCAUCAAUGAUUAUGGUAAAUGAUUUUCUCGACAAAAAUCUAGAAGCAAUUUAACAAACAUGAUAUAAUAUUUUAAGGAGAAAAUUUUAAAUAUAUAAAAUUAGCAUGCAUUGCAUGCUCACCAUAACAACAACAAAAAAUGAACCAAAAGAAAUAAUGCAAAUGAACUCUACGAUGAGGACUUACGAAAACUACUGCAGGUGUUUUCAUCAUACUAAAUGCCCUAAGCAUUAGAAAGCAAUGUAGGAAUUAAAUUAAAUUAUACAAUUUGUUCCCUUCACUUAUAAACUUCUAAAAGUAAAUAUUAAAAAGAUAAGAAAUCAGGAAUUGUACCAGAUUUUGUUGUGAAGGUUCGACGAUAUGUGUUGACAUACUUCCGAACAUCAUCCUCCUUAGAGAGGUUGAAGAGCUUUCGAAUCUUAGAAGCUCUCUUUGGACCCCUCAUCCUAGGUUUCUCUGUGUCGGUCAAUCCAGGAAGAUCGCUCUCACCCUUCUUCACUAUAACCAAGUUCAAAACAGAGAGGUCUUGGCUGACAAUGCACCCACGAACAGCCUUCCUCCUUCGCUCUCCAUUACGUCUUCCAUAUCCACGGAAGCAU
rnacentral:lncRNA from 1 species